rnacentral:rRNA from 1 species
AUUGAACGCUGGCGGCAGGCCUAACACAUGCAAGUCGAGCGGACCGCCGGACGGGUGCGUAAUGCCUAGGAAUCGGCCUGGUAGCGGGGGAUAAAGUCCGGUAAUGGGCGCUAAUACCACAUACUAUCAGAUGAGCCUAGGUCGGAUUAGGUAGUUGGUGGGGUAAAGGCCUACCAAGGCGAAGAUCCGUUACUGGUUUGAGUGGAGGAUCAGUCACAACUGGACUUGGACACGGGCCAGCCUUCUACGGGAGGGAACAGUGGGGAAUUUUUGAAAAGUGGGGAAAGCCUGGUCCCGCCAUUCCGGGGGGUGGAAGAAGGGCUUCGGGUUGGAAAGGAAUUUUAGGUGGGAAGCGUUACCUACAGAAUAAGCACCGGCUAACUUCGUGCCAGCCGCCGCGGUAAUUC